CUAAAAGAAGCUGAUUUAUGAAAAUAUUAAAAUUAAGCCUUCACUGCGCUAAGUUGCUUAGAAACAUACAAGUAACUGCCUGCAUAUCAGAAAUAAAUAAAUAGAGAAAGAAGAAACAAAAGGACCAGAAUGGGGAUGUCAAACGCAGAGCGUCAAAGGAAGUUUCGUUCCAGAUGGGAUGAGGAUGAAACAAGAAGAAAGUAUUUGCAGGACUCUAAAGAAAAG